CCUACGGGUGGCAGCAGUAGGGAAUCUUCCACAAUGGGCGAAAGCCUGAUGGAGCAACGCCGCGUGGGUGAAGAAGGUCUUCGGAUCGUAAAACCCUGUCGUUAGAGAAGAAAGUUCGUGAGAGUAACUGUUCACGUUUCGACGGUAUCUAACCAGAAAGCCACGGCUAACUACGUGCCAGCAGCCGCGGUAAUACGUAGGUGGCAAGCGUUAUCCGGAUUUAUUGGGCGUAAAGGGAACGCAGGCGGUCUUUUAAGUCUGAUGUGAAAGCCUUCGGCUUAACCGGAGUAGUGCAUUGGAAACUGGGAGACUGGAGUGCAGAAGAGGAGAGUGGAACUCCAUGUGUAGCGGUGAAAUGCGUAGAUAUAUGGAAGAACACCAGUGGCGAAAGCGGCUCUCUGGUCUGUAACUGACGCUGAGGUUCGAAAGCGUGGGUAGCAAACAGGAUUAGAUACCCGUGUAGUC
rnacentral:rRNA from 1 species